rnacentral:rRNA from 1 species
UACGUAGGGUGCAGGCGUUAAUCGGAAUUACUGGGCGUAAAGCGUGCGCAGGCGGUUCGUUGUGUCGGCGGUGAAAGCCCCGGGCUCAACCUGGGAAUGGCCGUUGAAACUGGCGAACUGGAGUGUGGCAGAGGGGGGUGGAAUUCCGCGUGUAGCAGUGAAAUGCGUAGAGAUGCGGAGGAACACCGAUGGCGAAGGCAGCCCCCUGGGCUGACACUGACGCUCAGGCACGAAAGCGUGGGGAGCAAACAGG